rnacentral:lncRNA from 1 species
GUCGCCGCAGCCGGGGAGGCGCUACAGGCCCUGUGCCAGGAGCUGAACCUGGACGAGGGGAGCGCGGCCGAAGCCCUGGACGACUUUACUGCCAUCCGAGGCAACUACAGCCUAGAGGGAGAAGUUACACACUGGUUGGCAUGUUCAUUAUAUGUUGCAUGCCGCAAAAGCAUUAUUCCCACGGUUGGAAAGGGUAUCAUGGAAGGCAACUGUGUUUCACUUACCAGAAUACUACGUUCAGCUAAAUUAAGAUAUUAAAAGGAGAAUGCCUCCUGGACCUUUCAAGUUUUACUGAUAAUAGCAAAGCAGUGAAUAAGGAGUAUGAAGAGUAUGUUCUAACUGUUGGUGAUUUUGAUGAGAGGAUCUUUUUGGGAGCAGACGCAGAAGAGGAAAUUGGAACACCUCGAAAGUUCACUCGUGACACCCCAUUAGGGAAACUGACAGCACAGGCUAAUGUGGAGUAUAACCUUCAACAGCACUUUG